ensembl:lncRNA
CCUAGGCCACCACACAACACAAACUGCUGCCAAAUAAAUUGUAUUUCAUUCCUAAAAUUAACAUAGACCCAUAUACCUACAUUUAAUUAAUUGGGUUAGGUGAAAAAUUUAAAAAAAAUAAAUAAAUCUGUGUCAAUCUCCGUGAAUUUAUUUACGUGAUGUCACGUGACUCCGGUUGAUUGACGGGCGAACGGACGGUGUUGGCAAAAGGUCAUGCAAAAGUUAAUGAUGUCGAGUCUUCAUCUUCAUCAUGGAUAAAGGUAAAAGACCAAAGAAGCCAUCAGGUGCCCAGUUCAGAAAAAGAAGAAAAGAAGAAGAGGAGAAACGGGCAAAAGAUAAAGCCUACAGGAAAACAUUGCGGCUGACAGCCUUCCAGAAAGAUGCCAGAUCUCUGCGACCUGCAAUGUAAUGCUCCCUUAGCCUCUGGAGACGGGCCUCCAACUCCCUCCACUUGCGUCUCCUUAUUGGGGGAGGAUCAGCCCGGUCUGCCCUCUCCAGCUUCUGCUCAGCAAGCUGAUGCUGGUCUUUCGAGUAGGGUCCAGCUGCAGCCCCGGAGAACAACACCCUUACUGCACUUCGUUCAUGGAAUAUGCUUGGUACCUUGCCAUGGAGGCCCUGUUUAACUUCACUGUUAAAAUGGUGGUGCACAGUACUGCCUGAG